AGGCGGGCCGGAGCGGGUGACAGCCCCGUACGGGUAAUGACCUUUGCGAUCCUCGAGUAGGGCGGGACACGUGAAAUCCUGUCUGAAGAUGGGGGGACCAUCCUCCAAGGCUAAAUACUCCUGACUGACCGAUAGUGAACCAGUACCGUGAGGGAAAGGCGAAAAGAACCCCGGCGAGGGGAGUGAAACAGAACCUGAAACCGUGUACGUACAAGCAGUGGGAGCCUUCGUAAGAGGGUGACUGCGUACCUUUUGUAUAAUGGGUCAGCGACUUAUAUUCUGUAGCAAGGUUAACCGUAUAGGGGAGCCGAAGGGAAACCGAGUCUUAACCGGGCGUUAAGUUGCAGGGUAUAGACCCGAAACCCGGUGAUCUAGCCAUG
rnacentral:rRNA from 1 species